rnacentral:lncRNA from 1 species
CUAAAACUCACUUCAAUCGUUGAAGCGAAACGUGCAACCAUGGCGGUGCCGUCACGAGACUCGGAAACCACCAUCAAACUCCUAACAGAAAACAACCCUAAACCCAAAUCUAAGCAAGUAGAUUUACAAAACAAAAAAAAAUUCAAAGAGCCAAAUCGGAGAACAACAACAACUAGAAGCCUAAGUUUUCAGCUUAAAAUCAAAACCAUGGCAACAACAAUUUUAUGCAAUAAUCAUGGGGUUUGCGUUCUAUGAAGUAAUGCGAGCAAGAUGGUAACCUC